GUUAAAAUGACAAGGAGAAACACAAGGAAGCAUGUCCUCUUUCUUUCCAGGGAUAGGUUUGAGGCAAAAACAUUAGGAAUUAGCAAACAAUAGUGACUGUUGGAUCAGUCGAAGAUCAAAUGAAAGCUGUACUAGACUGUCUGGUCACUGAGGAUAAAAUACCCACAGAUGUCAGCACUACUUUGAAGCUCUUCAUAAACAACCUUGAUGAGUGCUCAAGGAGCAGCAUAAAGCGAUGCAAAGAGUGCAGUCUGGAGGAGGCAGGCUAGCUGCUGAGGAAGAUCCCAGAGAAGCAGCCCCAGUGUUUGGAGGAGAAGCACUACUGAUCAGGCUCCUCGUCGCCAUACAGAUGUAGAUGUUUAACAUCUCCAUUGCAAAUUAGACCAGGUCCAGAACAAGCUCUAUCCUCCAGAAGUUGUUUUCAUUUUUAAACUAAUGUUUUAUUUAUACAUUUUUCCCAGAUGUUUUUCCCCACAGCAGAUACAAACAUACACAGACACACACAAACAACAACUACAUCUCAUCUGCCGAGUCCUGCAUUCUCACACCCCCAUCCCUAGUGCCUGCAUUAUUAUUAUAAUAUAUUUUAUUUACCUUUAUUUAACUAGGCAAUUAUUGAUUUUCACAUGGCCUUAAAUUGUACCAAUUCAUUUUUCUCGGUCGCCCAUGCUAUUUCAAAAAUAAAUCAUUAGAUUUUUCCAUGGUGAUGUUUUCAAUGCUCAGUAUUAACUCAUUUUCUAUCCUGAAUAUGUGUUUGAUCAUGUCAUUACAGAUGUUUCAACAUCUGGCGAAAGUCAACCACUUGCGGGUUUUUAGAGAGAUCCAACCCUGUUUGUUCACUAUAGUGGAAAAUGAUCAGGUGUGUGCAGUCAACACCUACAGGCCCUGGUGCGGGGCUCUGGGCUGAGGGUGGUUGCGCUGCAGUUUACCCAGGCUGUGGCUAUGCUGUCCCUGACCCUUCUCAGCUCCCACUGCUGGACCAUGAGGAACGCUGCCCUACUGUAAGACCUCCUCUCCUCUCACAACUGUAAUGCACACACUGUCAACAUAGUCAAAU
rnacentral:lncRNA from 1 species